GACGAACGCUGGCGGCGUGCUUAACACAUGCAAGUCGAACGGUGAAGGGGUCUGCUUUUGUGGGCCCUGGAUGAGUGGCGAACGGGUGAGUAACACGUGAGUAACCUGCCCCCUUCUUCUGGAUAACCGCAUGAAAGUGUGGCUAAUACGGGAUAUUCUGGGUCUGUCGCAUGAUGGGUCUGGGAAAGAUUGCGCCUUUGGGUGUUUUUGGUGGGGGAUGGGCUCGCGGCCUAUCAGCUUGUUGGUGGGGUGAUGGCCUACCAAGGCGGUGACGGGUAGCCGGCCUGAGAGGGUGGACGGUCACACUGGGACUGAGACACGGCCCAGACUCCUACGGGAGGCAGCAGUGGGGAAUAUUGCACAAGGGGCGCAAGCCUGAUGCAGCGACGCCGCGUGAGGGAUGGAGGCCUUCGGGGUGUAAACCUCUUUCGCCAGUGAAGCAGGCCUGCUCCUUGUGGGUGGGUUGACGGUAGCUGGAUAAGAAGCGCCGGCUAACUACGUG
rnacentral:rRNA from 1 species